rnacentral:rRNA from 1 species
AUUGACCUCGGAUCAGGUAGGGAUACCCGCUGAACUUAAGCAUAUCAAUAAGCGGAGGAAAAGAAACCAACAGGGAUUGCCCUAGUAACGGCGAGUGAAGCGGCAACAGCUCAAAUUUGAAAUCUGGCUCCUUUGGGGUCCGAGUUGUAAUUUGUAGAGGGUGCUUUGGCGUUGGUUGUGGUCUAAGUUCCUUGGAACAGGACGUCACAGAGGGUGAGAAUCCCGUACGUGGCCGCCAGCCUCCGCCGUGUAAAGCCCCUUCGAUGAGUCGAGUUGUUUGGGAAUGCAGCUCUAAAUGGGAGGUAAAUUUCUUCUAAAGCUAAAUAUUUGCCAGAGACCGAUAGCGCACAAGUAGAGUGAUCGAAAGAUGAAAAGCACUUUGGAAAGAGAGUCAAAAAGCACGUGAAAUUGUUGAAAGGGAAGCGCUUGCAGCUAGACGUGCCUUGGGUUGAUCAGCCGGACUUUUGCCCGGUGCACUCUUCCUUUGGCAGGCCAGCAUCAGUUUGGGCGGCUGGAUAAAGGUCUGUUAAACGUGACUUCCUUCGGGGAGAGCUUAUAGGGCAGACGACAUGCAGCCAGCCUGAACUGAGGUCCGCGCAUCUGCUAGGAUGCUGGCGUAAUAGCUGUAAGCGGCCCGUCUUGAAACACGGACCAAGGAGUCUAACAUCUAUGCGAGUGUUUGGGUGUCAAGCCCGAGCGCGUAAUGAAAGUAAACGGAGGUGGGAACCUUUUAGGUGCACCAUCGACCGAUCCUGAUGUCUUCGGAUGGAUUUGAGUAAGAGCAUAGCUGUUGGGACCCGAAAGAUGGUGAACUAUGCCUGAAUAGGGUGAAGCCAGAGGAAACUCUGGUGGAGGCUCGCAGCGGUUCUGACGUGCAAAUCGAUCGUCAAAUUUGGGCAUAGGGGCGAAAGACUAAUCGAACUAUCUAGUAGCUGGUUCCUGCCGA